rnacentral:rRNA from 1 species
GAUGAACGCUAGCGGCAGGCCUAACACAUGCAAGUCGAGGGGUAGAGCACUUCGGUGUUUGAGACCGGCGCACGGGAGCGUAACGCGUAUGCAAUCUGCCUUACACUAAGGGAUAGCCCAGAGAAAUUUGGAUUAAUACCUUAUAGUAUAUUGAUGUGGCAUCACAUUAUUAUUAAAGAUUUAUCGGUGUAAGAUGAGCAUGCGUCCCAUUAGCUAGUUGGUAUGGUAACGGCAUACCAAGGCAAUGAUGGGUAGGGGUCCUGAGAGGGAGAUCCCCCACACUGGUACUGAGACACGGACCAGACUCCUACGGGAGGCAGCAGUGAGGAAUAUUGGACAAUGGGCGCAAGCCUGAUCCAGCCAUGCCGCGUGCAGGAUGAAGCAUCUAUGGUGUGUAAACUGCUUUUGUACGGGAAGAAACACCUCUUCGUGAAGAGGCUCGACGGUACCGUAAGAAUAAGGACCGGCUAACUCCGUGCCAGCAGCCGCAGUAA